CGCAUAUUGCACUUCCGGGUUAGUCCUGGAAGUAUGCCUGUAUCAGUGUCC
rnacentral:rRNA from 1 species